GAUGAACGCUGGCGGCGUGCCUAACACAUGCAAGUCGAGCGUGAACCGUCUGAAUGAAACUUCGGUCGAGUGAGGAUGGGGAAAGCGGCGGACGGGUGAGUAACGCGUAGGCAACCUGCCCCGUACAGAGGGAUAGCCUCGGGAAACCGGGAUUAAGACCUCAUAAUACCAUUAUCUCACAUGUGAUAAUGGUCAAAGAUUUUAUCGGUAUGGGAUGGGCCUGCGUCUGAUUAGCUGGUUGGUGGGGUAACGGCUCACCAAGGCGACGAUCAGUAGCCGACCUGAGAGGGUAAUCGGCCACAUUGGAACUGAGACACGGUCCAAACUCCUACGGGAGGCAGCAGUGGGGAAUAUUGCACAAUGGGCGAAAGCCUGAUGCAGCAACGCCGCGUGAGCGAGGAAGGCCUUUGGGUCGUAAAGCUCUGUCGAGGAGGAAGAUAAUGACGGUACUCCUCGAGGAAGCCCCGGCUAACUACGUGCCAGCAGCCGCGGUAAUACG
rnacentral:rRNA from 1 species